rnacentral:lncRNA from 1 species
GCUCAACGCCUACAUACAAGGAGGUUAUUAGAUAACUAUGAUGACGACGACAACGAAUAGGUCCUACUCCUAGCAGUGUAGUACCUGUUCCGCCCUUUGGAAAAUCUUGUAAAUACGGUCUUUUACGUAUCAAUCUACUUGAUGAAGGAUGAAUGGAUGAUGAAUAACAACAAACAUGACAGACUUGCUAUUGAAUAACGAGUUAUAGGAACGCUGUAUCUGCCUAUCUGGCUUUGUGAUGUCUCUUUAAUUCCAUGUUGCUCCUUUGAUGCUGGAUCGGCCGGAACAUAAAUUUACAAAUACCGAUCUGAUUGGUACGUUUGGGUCUCAUCAUCCGACUUUCGUAGCAUUUGUGGUUUGUGAGCCAAUAAUAGAGUAUUCUACGCCAUUGUAAUCCCUGAAGAUUUGAUCUCCACAAACAAAUCCUUUCUGCAACUCGUAAGGAUCGUUCUUCGGACAGAGGUGUCAUCGCAGGUGACAUAAUCUGUUAAACUGUAUGUCGGAGUUCACCAAUGUAGUAAGCUUCAAACACAUAAUAAGAAUGAACCAGAGUUUUAUAAGUUACUCCAAAU